rnacentral:snRNA from 1 species
AACCUAAUCUUUGGACGAA